UGUCCUAUGGUGUAAUGGUAGCACAUCAGAUUUUGGUUCUGCUUGUCUUGGUUCGAAUCCAGGUAGGACAA
rnacentral:tRNA from 1 species